GAAAAAUGGGGAAGUUUUGAUGCUCUACAGACAUUGUAAUGUCAUUUGUUAUAAUCCAAUUACGAGAAGAUUCAGAUAUAUCAAAUUUUAUGGGCAUGUUGUGUACAGUUAUGUUGUACUUCCCUAUGUCCCAAGCUUUAUCAGGGUGUUGCGUGCCUGAGCCUGAGGCUAAGCCUGAGUCUGAAUUUAUAUAUAAAUAAGAUGUAAUACCAUCGGUAAAUAAUAUUAUCGAUCGUUUUAG
rnacentral:lncRNA from 1 species